UAGUGAGCGCCACUACAGGUUUGCUUCUUCAUUGCCAUUAUAUCUUCCACGUUGACCGUCCUGUGAGACGGGAGGAUCCAGGCUGCACACCGUGACCACCGACCCACACCAGCUGGGCUCCCAAAGCAACCACAGAUGUUAUGCUCUUAGAAUAACAUUACCAGCAGGAGCAUUUGGUGCUGCCUCCUAACUCUGGACACACAUUCCUAGGAGAGUAAUACUACCAACCUCUACAUCAGCCUCAGCAUUACCAGAUAUCUACCCAGACUGGAAGGAGCUGCACUCAGUAUGAGAUGUUGAUUCUACUGCCUGAUGUGGAUUUUUGAAGAGCCUUAAACAACUUAUUCGCCUAAGAGCGUUCCCACAAUAUCCUUAAUUUUAGAAGUGUUGUCACUCAUCUUUACUUGCUACUGCUGUGCAGUUUUCACUGUAUGAAAAGCCCUCCCACUGUACUGCCCAGUCUCUCUACAGUGAUUAUGAUGAUCCUGUCCAUAACAAGGCUGAUAAUGGAGGAACAUGUGACAUACAUAUAACUCUUCAUACUCCGUAGGCAUAUACAGGUGCAGUGGAGUCACAUACUACUCCAUACUUGGCCAAAUUAUGGAUAUGAUUGCCAUAGUCACUAAAGAUAAGGACGAGGUAGAAUGGGGCAGGACUUGUUGAAUAGUAAAAACACAGCACAGCAGGAGCAAGUGACUGAGUGAUGAUACUUUACAAUUAUAGCACUUAUACAUACAUCCAAUCGGCAAAGAGACCUGCAUCUGGCCAUAAUCGCAUGAUUCUGACUGACUGGGA